rnacentral:rRNA from 1 species
AACGCUGGUCGCGUGCCUAACACAUGCAAGUCGAACGCGAAAGCCCCGCAAGGGGUAAGUAGAGUGCCCAACGGGUGAGUAACACGUGGGUGACCUGCCUUCGAGUGGGGGAUAACGUCCCGAAAGGGACGCUAAUACCGCAUAACAUGCUGCCUUUGAAAAGGUGGACAUCAAAGCCGGGGAUCGCAAGACCUGGCGCUGGAAGAGGGGCCCGCGUCCGAUUAGCUAGUUGGUGAGGUAAUGGCUUACCAAGGCGACGAUCGGUAGCUGGUCUGAGAGGAUGAUCAGCCACACUGGGACUGAGACACGGCCCAGACUCCUACGGGAGGCAGCAGUGGG